GAUGAACGCUAGCGGCAGGCUUAAUACAUGCAAGUCGAGGGGCAGCGCAGUGUAGCAAUACAUGGGCGGCGACCGGCAAACGGGUGCGGAACACGUACGCAACCUUCCUUUAAGUGGAGGAUAGCCCAGGGAAACUUGGAUUAAUACCCCGUAAUAUUAUGAAGUGGCAUCACUUUAUACUUAUAGCUCCGGCGCUGAAAGAUGGGCGUGCGACGGAUUAGGUAGUUGGCGGGGUAACGGCCCACCAAGCCUGCGAUCAGUAACUGGUGUGAGAGCACGACCAGUCACACGGGCACUGAGACACGGGCCCGACUCCUACGGGAGGCAGCAGUAAGGAAUAUUGGUCAAUGGACGCAAGUCUGAACCAGCCAUGCCGCGUGGAGGAUGAAGGUCCUCUGGAUUGUAAACUUCUUUUAUUUGGGAAGAAACCCACUGUUUCUACGGUGGUUGACGGUACCAGAUGAAUAAGCACCGGCUAACUCCGUGCCAGCCGCCGCGGUAA
rnacentral:rRNA from 1 species